GAUGUGAGGGCAAUCUGGCUGUGACAUCUGUCACCCCCAUUGAUCGCCAGGGUUAAUUUUACUGAUCUGGCUGGCUAGGUGCUCCCCUUCCUCCCUCACUGCAACAUGUGCGUCCCUCCCAAAGCUGCGUGCUCAGUGGAAGGCAAUUGAAGGAGUGUAUGGUUCUUUGGUCAAGGCUAUACGAUAGUGACAGAUUUUACUUUCCUGGGCUCCAUGAUCACUACAGAUGGUGACAGCAGCCACGAAAUUAAAAGAUGCCUGCUUCUU
rnacentral:sRNA from 1 species